rnacentral:tRNA from 1 species
GCCUCCGUGGCUCAACUGGUAGAGCAUCUGACUUGUAAUCAGAAGGUUGAGGGUUCGAAUCCCUCCGGAGGCU